rnacentral:rRNA from 1 species
UGGAGGGCAAGUCUGGUGCCAGCAGCCGCGGUAAUUCCAGCUCCAAUAGCGUAUAUUAAACUUGUUGCAGUUAAAAAGCUCGUAGUUGAAUUUCUGCGUUAUCGAGUUAUUGACUCUUGUCUUUAAUCGAUUUCGCUUUUGGGAUUUAUCCCUUUUUACUUUGAGAAAAUUAGAGUGUUUCAAGCAGACUUUUGUCUUGAAUACUUCAGCAUGGAAUAAUAGAGUAGGACUUUGGUUCUAUUUUGUUGGUUUUUGAACCUUAGUAAUGGUUAAUAGGAACGGUUGGGGGCAUUCGUAUUUAACUGUCAGAGGUGAAAUUCUUAGAUUUGUUAAAGACGAACUACUGCGAAAGCAUUUGCCAAGGACGUUUCCAUUAAUCAAGAACGAAAGUUAGGGGAUCGAAGACGAUCAGAUACCGUCGUAGUCCUAACCAUAAACUAUGCCGACUAGGGAUUGGAGGUCGUCAUUUUUCCGACUCCUUCAGCACCUUGAGAGAAAUCAAAGUCUUUGGA